UAAUGUAGAUGAGAAUGUCUAGGGAGAAAAACUUGAGUGAACUGAGAAGACAGACAGCCCGUGACCAAAUUCUGAGAACUCCAACCAUUCACUGGUUGAGUGGAAGAGAACAAGCUCAGAAAAUAAAUGGAGAAAACAUGGUAGGAGGAGCAGAAGAAAAAUGAGGAGAAUGCUGUCUCAUGGAAGACAAGGGAAUUGGUGCACAUGGUAUGGACCCCAGCAAGUCCCCCUCUGCAGGUCAGGUGGGGAUCCAGGGAAGAUGCUGGAGACCAUGUUACAGCUCCAAUCCAAAGGGACUCUGAAGCUAGCAAAGCUUGGAGAAGCCUGAACAAGCUGGUCACCCUCACUGUCAAAGACUUUCAUUUCCACGGAAGGGAAACUGAUGACCUGGGACCAUUGGAAGAACUAGUUAGUAAUUAAUCAGUUGCAUAAUCUUCCCUUAUCCUCUUUUCUAAUUUCCCUUCAGGACUUUAAGGACCCCUUUGAAGAUGAAAAGAAAGAAAGUUUGAGUGGACUCAAUUAAAGUGGGAAGCAGGUGUCUAGGUUCCAGGGCUGCUCAACUCUGGAUUCUGGCAGUUGAUAGAGGGCCUGGCCUUUUUUCUCAGUCAAUUGAGCACUAGCCCAGGGUGUUCAGGAGAUGCUCCCAUUUUGUUAGAGUUUGGAGAGAGGGAAAGCUUAACUUCCUGUCCAAGAAGAAAGCCACAGGGAGGUAGGAGGUUGGAAGUAAGGGACAAGGUGAAAGAACUCUCUCUAUUUAAUGCCAGGGAAACAAACAUGGGAGCUUCGGGGAAGACAGACCAGCCAAAAUUCUCUGAAGGAAGAUGUAAGUGAGGGAAGUCUCUGAGCUGGAUGACUUCACCACUGAAGUGCAAGUGAGAGAACACUGGAGCAUGGUGGAUUGUCAAGUGCCAAGCUGGAAUAGUAAACGUGGUGGUGGGGAGUGGAUCCGGUAAUAAUGGAGCAUUUAGAAUCAAGGCCAGCCCUCAGACUGAAUGUGGAGAUAACUAGUUCUCUGCCAGUCUAUUAUUUCUGAAGAAAGAGCUUGACUAAGUUUAUUUUACUCACAUUUUUUUUUGCUUGUCUCAAAUCAAGUAUGGAUGAAGCAGUUCUAAGGACUGCAAAGCUGCGCAGCGGGAACCAACUCCCUACUGCAGUUAUCAUUCGCCUUUAAAGUCUCCGUGUCAAGACACACAGAAAGUGUCUACACCAAAUGGACAAACGUUCCAGGGGGUUUCCUUCCCAACUGCUUAUUAAGAAAUCCAUCCUCUUCACAUCAGUGGGACUUCAUUCUACUCAAAUUCCAUCAAUUCCCAAUAGCUCCAACACGAGGACAAACCCUAGGAGAUGAGGGUGCCAUCUCAAGUCUCUUAUUUUGGUUAUUUAACUGAAUAAGAAAAUGUGUAUAACUGCAGCAAAUGACUCCUAUCUUUCCUGGAAAACAAACGCAGCCAUUUGCUGUGUCUCACAAUGUGUCCUUUAAGUCGCCUGCUCCUGCUGCUGUCUGUGGGAGCCAGAGCUGAGGUGCGCAGGACAGACCGCCUGGUUUGGAAACCUUGGAAGCAUGGUCUGCUUGUAUUACCUGGGGUCAUAGAUUUAGCACUCAUAAAGUCAUGUCUGUCUGUUCCUUCUGUGUCUCCAGCCAAGGAAAGAGGAGACAGGAGUAAUCAGCCUACUCAAGGAAAGAGGCAGGAGUGAUUUGAAUAAUUAUCUAUCUUUUAGACAAAAUACUGCAUUCUAUUAUGUUAUGCAAAUUCAAAUAAUGGGCUUUUUUAUGUGAACUACAUCCGUUUACAUCCUCAUUAUCCCAAGGUUUCGGUAUUCGGCCAGGUAAUGACAGCUGUGAAAACAGACUUGGAAACUUACUGCUAUCUUCAUUAAUUUACUGUAGGUAACUGACCUAGUCAAACAUCCCUGAAUAUGAUAUAAAAUUCACAGACUGUGUUUACCCGUGAAUCCGGCUGAAUUCCAGCUCUGCGUUUCUCAUCCCAUAUUAAACAUGACGACAGAUGCACCAACAGAGGUUACUGGGGAACCUCUCCCAGGCAUUGUCUUGCAGAGAUAAAGUUCUGUAAUUAAGCUGCUGUUCACCAAUGUGGAAAUAAUACAGUGUAUUGGAAAACGGUAAUUAACUAAACUAUCAUCUUUGUAACAGCCUGUUACACAUGGGACUCCUUAGAACAGACUUUGCUUGGAGUCCAACAGCUCUUAUUGUAAGUUGGGCAGGAACAAAAAUGGGGAUGAGGAACUUCCCCCUGACUGAGCUGGCUGUUGGUGGCAUUAUCCUAUUACCACUGACACCAAUCAGGUGCUA
rnacentral:lncRNA from 10 species